rnacentral:lncRNA from 1 species
UCUGAGUUGCUGAGGACCCUCUAGCUUGUACAAAUUGGUGUUGGGGGAAUCAACUUCCUUUUUCACUAGGUUGGCAGGCCUUGGCCCUGUCUCUGUGAAGGUGGGAAACAUGCAGCAUCCUCAUAGGUCCUCAGGAGAGAUGGCCGAACAUAGCAUUGAUCUUAAAUCUUUCAAGUAAAAGUGUAUUGGACUUGGAAAGCCAGAUUUGAAUUCUCCAGACCACAGGCAAGUCAUUAAUUCUCUCUGAGGUGAGAAAGUGAGAGGUAAGUUUCC